rnacentral:rRNA from 1 species
AGUAAAUAGAGGUAUCUGAAGAAUGACUUGGGUAUAAAAGAAAUAGGACGUAAUAACUUACGAAAAUACGAACUUAGAGAAUUUCAAGUUUGUGUCUCCUUUUAGGGAAACCUAUAUAAAAAAAUACAUUGUGAAUUGAAACAUCUUAGUAACAAUUGGAAAAGAAAUCAAUCGAGAUUAUGUUAGUAGCGGCUAGCGAAACCAUAUGUAGCCUAUUAAAAUUUGAAAAAAUUUUAUGUGUUUAUUUUUUAAUUUCUAGAAGUUCAUAGAGGGUAUUCAAAUCCCGUAUAGAAAGGAAAAUAAAUAAUAGAGUAGAUCUAAAAAGAUUGAAGAAUAUCAAUUAUGUAAUAAUUUUUGAUCAGGAGUAUCAACUUCUAAGGCUAAAUACUUUUAUACACCGAUAGUGAACUAGUAACGUGAGUGAAAGUUGAAAAAGAAUUGCUAAGCAAAGUGAAAAGACCCUGAAUUCGGAUACUAUUAGCUGUUAUUGCCAAUUUGGUUUUAACGUACCUUUUGUAUAAUGGAUUUGCUAGUCUUUAUUUUAUGCGCAGCUUAAUUGUAAUUGUAGGCGUAGUGAAAACGAGUAAUAAUUUGCGUAAUUGUAUAAAAUAAAGGGACCCGAAACUGAGUGAUCUAUUUAUCAGCAGUUUGAAUCCUGAUUUAUCGUCAGGUGGAGGAACGAACUCGUGUCUGUUGCAAGAGACUGGGAUGACUGGUGAAUAGUCGGUGAAAUGCCAAUCGAACUCAGAUAUAGCUGGUUUUCUGCGAAAAUUAUUUAGGUAAUGCGUAAAUAAAAAAAGAUAAGGGGUAUGGAACUGAUUAGAUCUUUGGCCCUUUUGGGUACUUAAUCUUUUUAAACCUACAAUACUUAGUCUUUUAUAUUUAUAGACAGUCUGUUGGCGAUAAGGUCGUCAGACAAAAGGGAAACAACCCAGAUCUAAAGUUAAGGUCAUUAAUUUUUAUUAAGUGUCAAAGGUCCGUUAUUCUACUAUUACAAUUAAUAAGUAGGCUUGGAAACAGCCAUCUUUUAAAGAUAACGUAACAGUUCAUUAAAUUAUGUGGAAUUGCACCGAAAAUUCAGGUGGCUCAAAAUAAAAAACCGAAACUUAGAAACACUUUUUGUGUUGGUAGCAGAACGUUUUGUUAUUAUUUUUAUUCUAGUUAUAGAUUUAUCAAAAGUGACAAUGCAAAUAUGAGUAACUUUAAUUCUUUGUAUAUAAGAAUCUCCGUAUGUCCAAGGUUUCCAAUCCUUCUGAUAUUCAUGGUUGGUUGAUUCAGCCCCUAAGAUAAGUUUGCGUUAGCAUACGUCGAUGGGUUUAUCUUUAGUGACCGAAUUUUUCGCUGGAAAUAGCUAAGAUAAAAUAACUGUACUUAAUCUGACAAUAGUGGACUAGUAGAGAAUACUAAGGAGACGAGAUAAUCAUUCUUUAAGGAACUCGGCAAACUGCCUCCGUAAAUUCGUGAUAAGGAGGCUCGUAAGAGGACACAUAAUCGGGGAGAUCAACUGUUUACCAAAAACACAGCUUUUAGCAAACACGUAAAGUGGUAGUAUUAGAAGUGAUUCCUGCCCAAUGAUUGUAUCUUAAAUUCUCUGGUUAACGCUAGGGAUAUAAAGACAAUUAAAUGGCCGCAGUAACUCUGACUGUGAUAAUGUAGCGAAAUCAAUAGUCAAUUAAUUGUUGACGAGUAUGAAAGGGAUAAUGAAUUUCCCGCUGUCUCAAAGAUGAUCUCGGUGAAAUUGAAUUCGUAGUGAAGAUACUAUGUAUUUGUUGCGGGACAAGAAGACCCUAUCAGCUUUACUGUUACUAUUUAUUGUUUUUCCUAUCAAAUUGUAUAGAAUAAUUGGGAGUAUUUGAGAAAUUUUAUUUUUAUACAUUCUUGUAAUACCAGUCUUUUUGAAUAGGAAUAAACUAACCUUAUAAGGGAAAAGUUUAUGGCAGACAGUUUUACUGGGGCGGUAGCCUUUUAAAGAAUAACAAAGGCUCCCAAAGGUCUAUUCUCAUGAAAUAUAAAUUCAUGUUCGAGUGUAAAAGCAUAAAUAGGCCUAACUGCGAGUUCGAUGGAACAAGCAGGGACGAAAGUCGGGUUUAGUGACCCGCUGAUUUUAAUUGAACUAGUCAGCGAUCAUAAGUUAAGUUACGAUAGGGAUAACAGGGUAAUAACAUCUAAGAGUUCUUAUCGACGAUGUUGUUUGCCACCUCGAUGUUGAAUCAUCGUAUCCUAGCGGUGCAGCUGCUGCUAAGGGUUGGUCUGUUCGACCAUUAAUACGGUACGUGAUUUGAGUUCAGAACGUCGUAAGACAGUUCGGCUUAUAUCUGCAACAAACUAGAAACAAAAAGAUAAAUCUUAAUUGUACGCAAGGAUCUUUUGGUUGGCCCCGCUGGUGUAUCUAUUGUAUCAUCGCAUCGUAGGGUAGCUAAGGGCUAUUAGAUAAGGGUUGAAAGCAUCUGAAACUCGAAGCUAUUUCUUUAUUGUUUCAUACAGCCGCGGUAGACUAUCGCGAAAAUAGGCAGAAUGUGUAAGAAUAGUAAUAUUUUAAGCAGAUCUGUACUAAUCAGCUGAGUUACUCUUUUUU